rnacentral:rRNA from 1 species
CCUACGGGGGGCUGCAGUAGGGAAUAUUGCUCAAUGGAGGAAACCCUGAAGCAGCAACGCCGCGUGGAGGAUGAAGGUUUUCGGAUUGUAAACUCCUUUUGUUAGAGAAGAUAAUGACGGUAUCUAACGAAUAAGCACCGGCUAACUCCUUGCCAGCAGCCGCGGUAAUACGGAGGGUGCAAGCGUUACUCGGAAUCACUGGGCGGAAAGAGCGCGGAGGCGGGAUAGCAAGUCAGAUGUGAAAUCCUAUGGCUUAACCAUAGAACUGCAUUUGAAACUGUUAUUCUAGAGUAUGGGAGAGGUAGGUGGAAUUCUUGGUGUAGGGGUAAAAUCCGUAGAGAUCAAGAGGAAUACUCAUUGCGAAGGCGACCUGCUAGAACAUAACUGACGCUGAUGCGCGAAAGCGUGGGGAGCAAACAGGAUUAGAUACCCGUGUAGUC